GACAGAGGAUGCAAGCGUUAUCCGGAAUGAUUGGGCGUAAAGCGUCUGUAGGUGGCUUUUCAAGUCCGCCGUCAAAUCCCAGGGCUCAACCCUGGACAGGCGGUGGAAACUACCAAGCUGGAGUACGGUAGGGGCAGAGGGAAUUCCAGGUGUAGCGGUGAAAUGCGUAGAUAUCUGGAGGAACACCGGUGGCGAAGGCGGCAUCCUGGACCGACACUGACGCUGAGGAGCGAAAGCCAGGGGAGCAAACGGG
rnacentral:rRNA from 1 species